rnacentral:rRNA from 1 species
CGCAAGCCUGACGGAGCAAGACCGCGUGGGGGAGGAAUGCCUUAGGGUCGUAAACCCCUUUUAUCUGGGAAGAACAAAAUGACGGUACCAGAUGAAUAAGCCUCGGCUAACUCCGUGCCAGCAGCCGCGGUAAUACGGAGGAGGCAAGCGUUAUCCGGAUUUAUUGGGCGUAAAGCGUCCGCAGGUGGCGAUGCAAGUCUGCUGUCAAAACCCAGGGCUCAACUCUGGUCAGGCAGUGGAAACUACAAAGCUAGAGUCUGGUAGGGGCAAAGGGAAUUCCCGGUGUAGCGGUGAAAUGCGUAGAGAUCGGGAAGAACAUCGGUGGCGAAAGCGCUUUGCUAGACCAGAACUGACACUCAGGGACGAAAGCUAGGGGAGCG